GCCCAGUAUCACCUUUCAAGUUGCUGUAGUCCCUUUCUCCUUCAAGAAACCCAGCUACCUGUGACAUGUAAGCGUCCCAAUCAAUCUUUGUAUAAGGAACGUAGGCGAUGAUGAGAGCGACAAGGAGGGCAUCCAUGAAAAUUAAAGCCAAAGCGAAGGCUACUUUUGGAUUUUUCAAAAAUUUGGCGGCAGAAGCCUGGGGUCUUGGCGACGGCUUGACCUUCCUCGAUGAUUUAGGUGCCAUGGCUUCGG
rnacentral:misc_RNA from 1 species